ensembl:lncRNA
UAGGUUUCUGGCUUGGUGCUUGGUGUUAAGUGCUAGUGUUUUUAAGUGUGCAGAUAGUUUCUCUCUUUCGUUUUUUCACCAAUGACUAAUACCUGUUUUAAUCUUGUUUAGCUGGAGAAGUUUUGUGACAUCCAUACAUUUAUAUCAGAAAUGCAAUUUACCAAACAAUCAACAGAGCUGCAGUUGUUGGGUGUUACAGAAAUAUAGAGCUGGGUGUCAUCUGCAUAGCUAUGAUGGUAGUGUAAUUAGGAGGCACAACAUCGACUAAGGGGUAGCAUGUAUAGACUGAAAAGUAAGGGCCCUAAAAUGGAUCCUUGAGGGACCCCACAGGUCAUACAAAUGUUUUUUGAGCUGUGGUCUCCGAGGGCAACAAAGUAUUCCCGGCCAGUUGGAUAGGCUACCGGACCAGUGAGGCCAACCCAAUUUUCAAGUCUAUCAAUAAGGAUAUCGUGAUCAACAGUAUCAAAAGCUGCGCUCAGAUCCAGAAGGGCCAAGACAGAUGUUUUUUUUGGAGUCAGCAUUAAUCCGGAGAUCAUUUACAACCUUGACUAAUGCCGUUUGUGCUAUGAUUGGAACGAAAACCAGAUUGGAAGGUGUCAAAUGCACAGUUAGCAUCUGAUCUGAUCUGUGUGUGUGUGUGUAACCUGCACCUCUCUCAGGUGUGUGUAACCUGCCUCUGUGUGUGUGUGUAUAACCUGCACCUCUCUCAGGAACCUGCCUGUGUGUGUGUGUGUAACCUGCACCUCUCAGGUGUGUGUGUGUAACCUGCCUCUGUGUGUGUGUGUGUGUGUGUAACCUGCACCUCUCUCAGGUGUGUGUGUGUGUGUGUGAGACCUGCACCUCUCUCAGGUGUGUGUGUGUGUAUAACUUGCACUUCUCAGGAACCUGUGUGUGUGUGGGGUUGGGCAUUCAACAGUGUGUGUGUGUGGGCAUUCAACAGUACUUAGGGGGGUUAGGGUCUACAUUCAUUCUCAAAGCCAAACUACCCAUUUUGAUCAUUUAGAGAUGUAUUACAUUUAAUUACAGAAUGUAUUACACAUUACAAACAGAGAGACAGAUUUAAACUAGUGUGUGUGUGUGUGGGCAUUUAAUUACAGAAUGUAUUACACAUUACAAACAGAGAGACAGAUUUAAACUAGUGUGUGUGUGUGUGGGCAUUUAAUUACAGAAUGUAUUACACAUUACAAACAGAGAGACAGAUUUAAACUAGUGUGUGUGUGUGUGUGUGGGCAUUUAAUUACAAAUGUAUUACACAUUACAAACAGAGAGACAUAUUUAAACUAGUGUUUCCCAACUUCCUGUUCCAACUGGCCAAUCAGCUUUGCUCCAUGCAACAAUAUGGUUUUCUGCCAAGAAAGGAGAUCUGAGAUCAGAGCGCAUACACGCACUAUACACGCACACACACGUGCACACACACACUAUAAACGCGCACACACGUGCACACACACACUAUAAACGCGCACACACACACUAAGAGAUACACACACACAAGUGUAUAUAUAUAUGUGCAUCCAGGUAAUUUCAUCAGCAAUCAUGAGUGUGUGUAAGAGAGAGUGUGUGUGUAUAUGUGUGUGUGUGUUUGUGUAAUAGUGUGUGUGUGUGUGUGUGUGUGUAUGUGUAAGAGAGUGUGUGUGCGUGCGUGUGUGUAUGUGUAAGAGAGUGUGUGUGCGUGCGUGUGUGUGUGUGAGCCUCAGACAGAUAUUUCUAAUCACAUGCUGCUAUUGCAGCUCAUACGAGGUGUCAGAAAAGUAAAGUCAUCAACAGCUCUGUGUGUGUGUGUGUGUGUGUGUGUGUGUGUGUGUGUGUGUGUGUGUGUGUGUGUGUAAUAGUGUGUGAGUGUGUAAGAGAGAGAGUGUGUGUUAGAUUUUAGAUUUUUUUUUAAAAGUUACUGAGAACUAGACACAAUGUAGAAACCCCGUUAAAAAAAACACAUCUGAGGGGAUUUGCGUCGUGUCUGAGCCAGCUAUCUAAUGUUAGCAUGCUACUACUACCCACAGGGUGUCUGAGCCAGCUAUCUAAUGUCAGCAUGCUACUAACCUACAAGGUGUCUGAGCCAGCUAUCUAAUGUUAGCAUGCUACUAACCUACAAGGUAAACAGCAUGGGUUGGACCAAUCACAGCCCUUCGGUCUCCGUGGGUUGGACCAAUCACAGCCCUUCGGUCUCCGUGGGUUGGACCAAUCACAGCCCUUCGGUCCCCGUGGGUUGGACCAAUCACAGCCCUUCGGUCCCCGUGGGUUGGACCAAUCACAGCCCUUCGGUCCCCGUGGGUUGGACCAAUCACAGCCCUUCGGUCUCCGUGGGCCCUCCUUCAUUUCGACGGAUGGGAUGCGCACGUCAGGCCACGGAGAGGUGAUCGGAGUGAUCGGCUGUUGAACAAACACACACACACACACACACAGUUAGCAAAGCCACACACACAUUAACAGUUAGCGUGUGUGUAUGUGUAACAGAGUGUGUGUGUGUGUGUGUGUGUGUAAUAGUGGGAGUGUGUGAGUGGGAGUGUGAGUGUGUGAGUGUGUGAGCCUCAGACAGAUAUUUCUAAUCACAUGCUGCGUCCGCAGCUCAUACGAGGUGUCAG